UACGUAGGGUGCAAGCGUUAAUCGGAAUUACUGGGCGUAAAGCGUGCGCAGGCGGUCGUUCAAGUCGAGUGUGAAAGCCCCCGGCUCAACUGGGGAGGGUCACUCGAUACUGAUCGACUUGAAGGCAGGAGAGGGAAGCGGAAUUCCCGGUGUAGUGGUGAAAUGCGUAGAUAUCGGGAGGAACACCAGUGGCGAAGGCGGCUUCCUGGCCUGUUCUUGACGCUGAGGCGCGAAAGCUAGGGGAGCAAACGGG
rnacentral:rRNA from 1 species